CUUGGUUUACGGCAGCUUUAGGGAGGUGCUCUGAGACCCGAAACUAGACUCGACUUUAACAGACACAGACGACCCUGAAGAUGGAAAUGUUUUCUUCCAAAUUGUGCUGCACGUUUUUGGCGAGAGCAUGGGGCUGUGCGGCGUCCCCUCCCUGGCGCCCACCUGUGCCCUGCACACUGGCCUGCACUGUGGUGAUCUCGCUUGGCCCCCACCUGAUUCCCGACAUACAGCAGAGGAAGCUUAGGCUCAGGUGGAACAGCCUCAACUGAUUCUGUCCCUGAACUUCCGUACACAGCCCUGGAGUCGUCUUAGAGCCAUGAUUUAUUUAACUGUUCUUUCAUUUUACAGAACAUAAAAUGUAUUGUUUCCAACUUUUUUCCUAUGGUAAAUAAUACUAAAGUAAAUAUCUCUGUGCAUGAAUCUUUUUGUAUAUGUUGGAAUAUCCUUAAGAUAAGGCCCCAGAACUAAAAGUACCCUGUCAAAAGGUGAGCAUUUCCGGUUCCCCUGCUGUGCUUUGCUGCGUUGUUCUCUCCUGCUGCAACGUUCUCACUCCACAAUCCUGGGGCAGGGAGGGGAGGCCCAGCUGAGUUUGGAUCAUAAUCCUGAAAGACACAAUCCCAAGCACCAUAAUGUGGAAUGUUGAAAUCCCUAAAGAUCAAAAUCCCUCAAGUCUAAAAUCCCUGAUAUUUCAGAUGACCACAGCUACAGGGCUAGGUGCACACAAUUAGUAACCGUAGCGAUAUACGUGUACACGUUUCUCUUUUGACUUAUUUCUUUAUGGUCUGUCUUCUUAUAACUGCUACACCCAUGCCGCCGUCGUUAGUUACCUCAGUGUUUAUGCAAAAAUACCUGUUAUCAUUGCCUAUUUUAUUGUGUAAAGUGGCCUAUGAAAUGUUCUGUUGUGUUUUUAUGUUUCUCAAAUACAUACCUUUUAAAAAUGUAAAUAAAUAACAUCGACA
rnacentral:lncRNA from 1 species